AAAACAGUGGUUACUUCCAUUGUAGUUAUGGGUCAUGAAAACAACGCUCCUUCGUUGUUAAAGUUGAUUGGGGACUAUGAUCCUAUAUUUUUGGAAAUACCAUAUGAUUUUGCAACCUUAUUGUGGGGAGAACAACUUCCAUAUGUCAAUGUCUUAAAAUUAUUGAUGAUGAUUUAUCGUGUUUAUUUUGGAUGGUCCGGAGUUUUUGGCUGCAACU